AUCGAGUCUUUGAACGCAAGUUGCGCCCGAAGCCAUUAGGCCGAGGGCACGCCUGCCUGGGCGUCACACGACGUUGCCCCCCCGACCAAUCCCUCGGGAUUGCGAGGGGGGGCGGAUGAUGGCCUCCCGUACGCUCCGUCGCGCGGUUGGCACAAACACCAAGUCCCCGGCGACGCACGCCACGACAAUCGGUGGUUGCGAAACCUCGGUUGCCCGUCGUGCGCGGUCGUCGCGCGUCGGGGGCUCGAAAAAAAACGCUCGCCCGGCUACGGCUCGGCUUCGACG
rnacentral:misc_RNA from 1 species